rnacentral:rRNA from 1 species
GUCUUUUAAUUGAAGGCUGGUAUGAAUGGUUGGACGAGGUAUUAACUGUUUCAAAUAAAUUUUUUAUAGAAUUUUAUUUUUUAGUCAAAAAGCUAAAAUAUAAUUAAAAGACGAGAAGACCCUAUAAAUCUUUACUUUUAAAUUAUUUUAAUUAUAAAGAUAAAUUUUAUUAUAAUAAUAAAAAAAGUUUUAUUGGGGUGAUAUUAAAAUUUAAUAAACUUUUAAUUUUGAUAAAACAUAAAUUAAUGAAUAAUUGAUCCGUUAUUAAUGAUUAGAAAAUUAAGUUACUUUAGGGAUAACAGCGUAAUUUUUUUGGAGAGUUCUUAUCGAUAAAAAAGAUUGCGACCUCGAUGUUGGAUUAAGAAAAAAUUUAGGUGUAGCCG